rnacentral:rRNA from 1 species
UAUUGGACAAUGGGCGCAAGCGUGAUCCAGCCAUACCGCGUGGGUGAAGAAGGCGUUCGGGUUGUAAAGCCCUUUUGUUGGGAAAGAAAUCCAGCCGGUUAAUACCUGGUUGGGAUGACGGUACCCAAAGAAUAAGCACCGGCUAAAUUCGUGCCAGCAGACGCGGUAAUACGAAGGGUGCGAGCGUUACUAGGAAUUACUGGGCGUAAAGCGUGCGUAGGUGGUUAUUUAAGUGCGUUGUGAAAGCCCUGGGCUCUACCUGGGAAAUGCAGUGGAUAGAGGAUGACUAGAAUGUGGUAGAGGGUAGCGGAAUUCUUGGUGUAGCAGUGAAAUGCGUAGAGAUCAGGAGGAACAUCCAUGGCGAAGGCAGAUACCUGGACCAACAUUGACACUGAGGCGCGAAAGCGUGGGGAGCGAACAGGAUUAGAUACCCUGGU